GUCUGCGAAAUCUCUACUAUGAACUAAACAAAACUGACUGAAAACUGGGACAAGGCCCCCAGUAGACCAAAACAUGACUAAAGAUAAAUAUCUGAAAAUAAACAGGCCUUCUGGAUUAUAGAAGGCUCACCACUGCACAAUCUGAUCUGCGAUCUGAAAUAUCUACUGUUUACCUGGACCCCUAGAUUGAGCCUCAAAACCUGGAAGGAGGGGGUCAGCACAAAUAUACUGGCACGCGAAGCAAUCCAAAAUAGUGUAUUUGUAUACAUAUAAAGUAGAUGAGAGAAAUUUAACAAAACAUCAUGCAUAAAAUAGUUUCCAAAACACAUAGGCAUCAUUUUGAACAUUCUGAGACAUUCUUGUCAAAACAGUUUCUGAUCUUUGUAUUACUUCUGAGUUAGGUGGCAUUCCCCUACAAUUCUGAUAUUCUACGGGCCGUAUGGAAUCCGCCGUUGACUCGGCGGGGAAGCCUCCCACCCGAGUAUGCCACAAGGGUUGGAAUCUCUGAUUCUAAUACGCCGCACGGCUCUAGGCCAGCGUAAUAUAUAAACCUGGAUCGGCAAAUCACGGUUUUGGACAAUGAGUUGUCUGAACUCAUGCCUUCUUCGGGGAACCACCUAACAUCUCUUUCUGCCCAAUUUUUAACCAUUUCUAAUCAUGCAACAUUCUAAUCACAAAAUUUGUAAAUUUGAUUUCAAACAUGCAUUCUAUUCUGUUCUGAAUUUAUCAUGGCAUUUUCUGAGUUGGUGUUGUCACAUCAAGACUUGCAGGUUCUAUUUCUGAGUCAUAAUGCAAUAAGCAUGAUUUUUUUCAUAAAAGUAUAAUUUCAGACCACCCAAACAUGUAAUUUGCAUAAGAGAUUUCAUGUUCCGAAACUCAAGUCAAAACCAUGCAAAAACUUUUAUCAAACAUAUGGUGGUCAUGUGUUUUUCGCAAAAACCAUGCACUCUUUCAUUAUAUGUAUAUUCAACAUUCAUCAACGUAAACAAUCCUCUCUCUUUUGAAAGCAAAAAUCAUAAUCCAAAAUCACCAUUUAAGACUUUUCAUAACAUACUUUUAAAAAUGUAUUUCGAAACAAUCCAUAUCAUGUGAAACAUGGAAAAAAUUACAUCAAGGGAGGGAUUUCAUAUAUAUCAUGCUCUCAAUUCAUAUUUCAAAACUUGAACACUUACAUACAAUAUAUAAUAUAUAUAACUUUCAAAUCACUUUGGGGGAAAGCCAAAAGGCCAAAACAGUAUCCUUAAAGCUUCUAAAACAUGAAUAUAUACAUAAAUUUCAAAACCCCUUUCUUAAAACAUGAUUUCUAUGCCCAUGAGAUUUUAGGAAAACCCCACGUACCUCUAUUUAAGAAAUUAAGGGAUGAUCCCUGAAGCCUACGAUGUGGGGAUUCCAAAUCUCCAAUUAUCUUUCAAAACCCACGGUUGAAUCUUGAGUUAUUUGGGAUUUUUGUUUGAAACUCUAAGGGGUGUUCUUGAGAGAAAAUUUGAGAAAAGGAUUACAUUUUGAU
rnacentral:lncRNA from 1 species